CUGGAGCUUUGUAUCCUGGAGAUGACAGUGAUGAAUAAUGGUGCAUACAGCAGAUCUGCACCAGUCCUCAAAAGCUAGGUGCUUACAGCACACCGUGAACAUUUUGUGUAUCGCAGUAGAAACUAGUUGUCGCAUCUCGGCACCUAUGGAGUAUUUUCAGUACUCUGAAUACACGUCUUAUCAAUGCACCCUUGAAAUACCACGACAUAGUGAUGGUGAAGUAAAAUAAAUGGGAAGGAUAACAGAAAAAGCUGCCACUUGCAAGACAAAAAAAGAAACGAGGUGCUUCCGUCCGUACAGUUUACGCAUGUGACUCAGGAACAAGGCUGGUGGCCAAACACUGCCUGGUUGCGCCUAUCGAGUGUCCCUGCAUUGGGAGGGAAUGUCCUGAGGAGCUGGCUGGCCACUGACAUUUGGAAAAUGAAUGAAUUGUGCUUGCCAGGUGCUUGAGAACAACAUUUGGCACGAAAUAGCUGGCAUGAAAUAGCUGACAUGAGCUUGCAGGCUGUGUUAUUAUUCCCUAUUCUUCUAGACCUUCUCAUUGUAUCAGGGGACUAAACACAAGCCUGUUUCAGAGGACAUCAAAUAUAGCAAGGGGGAUGGUUACAGACCUAUUUACAGUAUAUUAAUUGUAUUAACAUAUUUAACAUUGUAUGGGGUAUUAUCCCAAACGAUGGCAGUAGUGGAAACCUGAAAAGCAUUUGGAGAAGACACUGUGGAGACACUGGGAAAAGCUGAGAAGAGCUAAGGAAAUUCCAGUGGAUCGAAGUGCUGGGGACAGCACCCUUCUUAGACCUCUCUGAGACAUCCCAUCCAGGUGGUAUUUCAGUGGCAAAACCAGCUCUUUGCCCAUCUCUGUCAAACACUGCUAUUGAGGAGGAAGGGGUAGGACUUUCACCCCUACUACUCUGACUAGAGGAUCCAAGUCUUCACUUGUCUAUUAGGAUUUUUUUUUUUCUUUCCUGUUCUGCAUUUAAUGCAACGCCAGCAUUGCUCCUUAGUGUAAGUAGCUCCUUCCCUCCAUCACCUUUGUAAAUCUGAGGUAUCCCUGGAAAGCAAUUUAUUUUUGCUGGGC